rnacentral:rRNA from 1 species
UACAGAGGUCUCAAGCGUUGUUCGGAUUCAUUGGGCGUAAAGGGUGCGUAGGUGGCGCCGUAAGUCGGGUGUGAAAUUUCGGAGCUUAACUCCGAAACUGCAUUCGAUACUGCGGUGCUUGAGGACUGGAGAGGAGACUGGAAUUUACGGUGUAGCGGUGAAAUGCGUAGAUAUCGUAAGGAAGACCAGUGGCGAAGGCGGGUCGUCUGGACAGUUCCUGACGCUGAGGCACGAAGGUCAGGGGAGCAAACGGG